UUGACCUCGAAUCAGGUAGGAAUACCCGGCUGAACUUAAGCAUAUCAA
rnacentral:rRNA from 1 species